UAACUCGCCGCUGUCAUAGCGGGAAUGUGGAAAUCUGGUUUGUUGAUUCAAAGUGAUUGUAUCUGAAUUAUCGGCCUUAUAAAAUAAUUUCGCCGAACAGAAUGCCGCCGAGUAGCCUUCGAGUCGUAUACGCGUUCGCCAGGGAGAUGCAUCCAAAAACUACGGACGUAUUCAUUGAAUAUGGCACAGCUGGGUUCCGAACCAAAGCCAAUCUUUUGGAGCAUGUCGUUUACCGGAUGGGACUACUCGCGGUUCUUCGAUCCCGAUGCAAGAAUGGUCGUACCAUAGGUUUGAUGAUAACCGCGUCCCACAACUUGGAGCCCGACAAUGGAGUCAAGCUCAUCGACCCCGAUGGCGAGAUGCUGGAGCAGAGCUGGGAGGAGAUCGCCACGAGAUUGGCUAACGUCAGUGACAAUGACUUGGAAUCAACAACAGGGGAGAUAAUAAAGCAAGUCAACGCCGACAUGGCUCUGAAGGCAAGCGUGUACAUCGGAAUGGACACGAGAUAUACAAGCCCGCGGCUCGCGGCGGCGGCUGUCCACGGCGUGAUAGCUCUGAAGGGCACGCCCAAGGAGUUCGGCAUAGUGACCACGCCCAUUCUACACUUCUGCGUCAAGUGCAGGAAUGAUAACACAUAUGGGACACCCACCGAGGAAGGUUACUACGAGAAAAUAGUCGGUGCCUUCAAGAACAUUCGUCAGAAGCUACCUGUCUACGGCGCCUACAGUACAACCUUACACGUGGACGGAGCCAACGGAGUGGGGGGGAAGAAACUCAACAUCAUCAGGAAGAGUCUGGACGGAGAACUGGACCUGGUGCUGUUCAACCUUGGUGGGAAUGGGGGGAAGUUGAAUUUGAAUUGCGGUGCAGACUUUGUAAAGGUGUCACAGAAGCCGCCGGUGGGCAUGGAGCUGACUCCUUUGCAGCGCGUGGCGUCUCUAGAUGGUGACGGCGACCGGCUCGUGUACUUCUAUAUGGAUGAAGACUGUAAGAACAUGCACCUACUGGACGGUGACCGCAUAGCGACGUUAUUGGCGAGCUUCAUAAUGGACCAGCUGAAGGCCUGCGGGGCUCGAGACCUUCGUAUAGGCCUCGUACAGACCGCAUACGCGAACGGGGCCUCCACCAGAUAUAUUACUGACGAUCUGAAAAUCCCAGUGACGUGCGUAAAGACGGGCGUGAAGCACCUGCACCACGCAGCGCUCUCCUACGACGUAGGCGUGUACUUCGAGGCCAACGGUCAUGGCACUGUGGUGUACAGUGACACCGCCAAGAGUGUCAUCCGGAAGAUCGCACUAGACGGCGAUGCAGAAGAGCGCAAAGCUGCGGAGUUGUUGCUCAACUUCAUAGACAUGACAAACGAGACAGUCGGUGAUGCCAUAUCGGACCUCUUCAUGGUGGAGACAGUGCUGUGCGCCCGAGGACAUGAUGCACGGCAUUGGUACAACACGUACAAAGACUUGCCGUGCAGGCAGCUCAAGGUCACCGUAGAGGACCGUAACGCGAUAUCGACGGCGGACGCGGAGAGACAGUGCACGUCGCCCGCGGGCCUGCAGGCGCGGAUAGACGAGCUCUCGUCCGCGUACGACAGCGGGCGCGCGUUCGUGCGACCGUCCGGCACAGAGGACGUCGUGCGAGUGUACGCAGAAGCGGACUCGCAGCAUGUGAGUAUGACAUAGAUCAAUGCGUCAUUGUAAGCCGCGGAUGGACGAGCUCUCGUCCGCGUACGACAGCGGGCGCGCGUUCGUGCGACCGUCCGGCACAGAGGACGUCGUGCGAGUGUACGCAGAAGCGGACUCGCAGCAUGUGAGUAUGACAUAGAUCAAUGCGUCAUUGUAAGCCGCGGAUGGACGAGCUCUCGUCCACGUACGACAGCGGGCGCGCGUUCGUGCGACCGUCCGGCACAGAGGACGUCGUGCGAGUGUACGCAGAAGCGGACUCGCAGCAUGUGAGUAUGACAUAGAUCAAUGCGUCAUUGUAAGCCGCGGAUGGACGAGCUCUCGUCCGCGUACGACAGCGGGCGCGCGUUCGUGCGACCGUCCGGCACAGAGGACGUCGUGCGAGUGUACGCAGAAGCGGACUCGCAGCAUGUGAGUAUGACAUAGAUCAAUGCGUCAUUGUAAGCCGCGGAUGGACGAGCUCUCGUCUGCGUACGACAGCGGGCGCGCGUUCGUGCGACCGUCCGGCACAGAGGACGUCGUGCGAGUGUACGCAGAAGCGGACUCGCAGCAUGUGAGUAUGACAUAGAUCAAUGCGUCAUUGUAAGCCGCGGAUGGACGAGCUCUCGUCCGCGUACGACAGCGGGCGCGCGUUCGUGCGACCGUCCGGCACAGAGGACGUCGUGCGAGUGUACGCAGAAGCGGACUCGCAGCAUGUGAGUAUGACAUAGAUCAAUGCGUCAUUGUAAGCCGCGGAUGGACGAGCUCUCGUCUGCGUACGACAGCGGGCGCGCGUUCGUGCGACCGUCCGGCACAGAGGACGUCGUGCGAGUGUACGCAGAAGCGGACUCGCAGCAUGUGAGUAUGACAUAGAUCAAUGCGUCAUUGUAAGCCGCGGAUGGACGAGCUCUCGUCCGCGUACGACAGCGGGCGCGCGUUCGUGCGACCGUCCGGCACAGAGGACGUCGUGCGAGUGUACGCAGAAGCGGACUCGCAGCAUGUGAGUAUGACAUAGAUCAAUGCGUCAUUGUAAGCCGCGGAUGGACGAGCUCUCGUCCGCGUACGACAGCGGGCGAGCGUUCGUGCGACCGUCCGGCACAGAGGACGUCGUGCGAGUGUACGCAGAAGCGGACUCGCAGCAUGUGAGUAUGACAUAGAUCAAUGCGUCAUUGUAAGCCGCGGAUGGACGAGCUCUCGUCCGCGUACGACAGCGGGCGCGCGUUCGUGCGACCGUCCGGCACAGAGGACGUCGUGCGAGUGUACGCAGAAGCGGACUCGCAGCAUUCUGCAGACAAAUUGGCAGCGGAGGUAGCACAAGCUGUUUACGACAUGGCGGGCGGCGUCGGAGAUAGGCCAACAGUAUCUGAAUAACAAUACAGAUGUAAUAACAAAUAUUAUAUAAUAAAGAAAUAUUUAUAUCUUUACUAAUGUUAUGGAGUAAUUUCUGGAUCUAUUGAAUCGAUUUCGAAAAUUCUUUUACCAAUAGAAAACCACGUCAGUUGUGAGUGUCACGGGCUAUAUUUGUCCCCAUAUUCCCACGGGAAAAAUACAUAUAAAUGAAUCAAUUGUAAUGAAAAUAUAGCCAUAUAAGUAGGGUGUGAGUAAAAUUAAAUUUUCUACACAUAACAAAGCAAAGGCAAAAUGCCAGUUGAUAUCUUUAAAGUUUUUCGCGAAAAACAGAGGUUACUUUACGAAAGUUCAUUAUGAAUAGGGAAUAAUUGAUUUUUUACAAUAUUUCGCGAAAAUCUAACGAAUCCAAGCGACAAUGUCACCCAGAAAAUCCUCAAUGUACGUUAGUUUGAAACCGGAGCAUCCUCAGGAGAUGGUGAUAAUUUAGUUAAAAAGCAAGGACUUUCCUUGCUGUUUUAUUUGCUUGCUUGUUAUUAUUGGUUUUGUUGUUGUUGUUGGAGUUAUGGUUAAAAUAGUCGUCGUUGUUGGUUUUGUGGUUGAACUCGUCUUUGGGGAUGUGGUUGAUGCCGUAGACGUUGUUGGUUUAGUGGUUAAAGUACCUGUUGUUGGGGUUAUGGUUGACUUCGUCGUUGUGCUUCUUUUGAUGUCGUCGUUAUUGCUUUACUGGUUGAAGUAAGUAGUCGUUGUUGGGGUUUAGGUUGAAGUCGUUGUUGUUGGGGUUUUGGUUGAAAUAGUCGUCGCUGUUGUUUUUGUGCUUGAAGUCGUCGUUGUUGUGGAGUUGUGGAUGAAGUCGUCGUCUCCGGCACUCUCACUCUCAUAAAUGGGUCAAGUUGUCGCUUGGAUAUGUCGAUUUUUCGUGGAGAAUAGCAAAACAAUCAAUGGGGAUGAUGACUAGGUUUGAAUAUAUUGAUUUUUAUGAUACAUUCGGGUAAAUAAGGUCAAUGUUUACUAAUUUAUACAUAAAAAGCAAAGAUUGUCUGGAUAUUUGCAAAAUAAAUGAGAUUAUAAAAUUUCAAAAUUUAUUAAAAAUAUUUUAUCGUAAUUAGAUGAAAAUUCACACAGUUUUAGCUUCCUUACAUUAAAUGUGACAUUUUUUAGUAUGUGAACUAUAAGCAUAAACGCACAAAUAACAAAGAUAUUAGUAAUUUUGUUUGAACGCGCAUACAAAUCUAACGAUCAUUACAUUGCGUAUGACGUCAUUAGUUCGAGCCAUUUUGUAUGGGGCGUUUUUCAGGGAUCCGCGGCAGCGCCGCAAAUCUGACCCUUUAAAUCCCUGUAGCUCCGAAAGUAAUGAUCGCAGAUACUCUGUUCCUUUUACAAAAUUGCUUUACUAUUAGUAUACUCUUAAUUUAUAUACAAUUUAAAAAACUGUCAUCAUCCCUAUUGUUUUGUAAGAUUAAUGUUGGAUUUGGCAAUUUUUCGCGGAAAAUGGCAAAAUAAAUUCGUUGUUUCAUCUAGUUUAUUGUAAUGUCACCGUCCAAAUCGAAUCAAAUGAACCAUUUUAGUGUACAAUAAAUUCAUAUAAUCUCUUUGAGAUCUUCUAAUCAAAUAUUGUACUUUUUUUCCAUACUAGCGUUCAUACUUUCAAAUUGAUCGUCUGACCUGACAUUUGUGUUAAGCAGUAUUUGGUAAACGCUUGAAUCAUUCAAACAUUUUUGACAAACUUGCUUGUCAGACUUGACUUUCAAUUAACACAAAUGUUUGACGAACGCUUCAAAUAUCUUUGAUAAACUUGUUUGUCUAACUUGACAUUUGUGGUAAGCAGUAUUUUAUAAAUACUUAAUUAUUUAAACGAGUUUGACAAACUUGCUUGUCAGGCUUGACUUUUAAUUCAGCAAUGAUUGAUUCAAAUAUGUUUGACAAACUUGCUUGUCUACCUUGACAUUUGUGUUAUGCAGUAUUAUUUAAUAAACUCCAUUUAUUCAUGUUUGACAAACUUCCUUGUCAGACUUGACUUUCAAUUAAGAAACGUGACGAACGCUUCAAAUACUUUGACAAACUUGCUUGUCUACCUUGACAUUUGUGUUAUGCAGUAUUUGAUGAACGCUUGAAUCAUUCAAACAUUUUUGACAAGUUGCUUGUCAGACUUGACUUUCAAUUAAGAAAAGUUUGACGAACGUUACAAAUACUUUCAAUUAAGCAAUGAUUGAUGAACGCUCCAAAUAUGUUUGACAUUCUUGAUUGUCGGACUUGACGUUUUUAAUAAGAUAUGUUUGACAAACGUUUGUUGCUGAUAAAACAUGUUUGACUAACAAGUUUUGAUUUGAUCGUCUUCACCUGGUUUGAUGAAAUGCAAUUAAAGAAACGCUAGUGUGAAACUUUUGAACAAAUUGCACUGUGAGAUAGCAUAGUAAAGCUUGUGUUAAAAAUAAAGUAUAAUUGAAUAUAUUAUUACAUAAUUAUAUAUUAUACUUUAUUAGUAUAGUACACUAAAGUAAAAUACUUUUGUGUUUCAACUGUCUUGAAUGACUAUGUAGUGAGAUAAGCUUUCGUGCGAACAAGCUCUUGAAUAAAGACCCCAACGGAUUUUAAUAUAAAUAAACGUUGAAAAAACUACGAAGUCUAUUUUACUGCAAUAAUUAAUGAAUAAUAUAUAAAUUGUAUAAAAUAUAAUUAGAAAAUAGUGAGUGAGUGAUUUGCAAAAUUAAUUCAUUUUUGAAAAUUUCUUAUGCACUAGCUUUUAGCUUAUCUGUGAAAGAAAGUUAUAUUGGACAAGCAAAUAACUUUUGUUAAAUGUAAUUUUUCCCAAAAAUUUGAUGAUCUUCUAUUUUUGGACAAUUCUAUGUGUGAAACUGAAGUAGCGUUAGCAAAACAGAAAUAUAUUUAUAAAUUAUCAUAUUGUAGGAUAUAAUCUGGGACGGAUAUGACGUCGCUCGACCUCGUGUUGGCUUGUGCUGACACUAGGUGGCGCGACUAGUUUCGUAAAGAGGGAUUUAGAGAGGGGUAGCGAUCAGUUGGCAGAAACGACUUGCGCUAUAAGGCGCUCAUCGUACGGUCGGCUUCAGUAUGCUUGUGGCGUUCGAGCCGUCCACAUUUCUUGUUGUGUAAUUCUUUUUGGGUUACUUGGGAUAGGCGGGGAGAGUGACUUGAGUUGAAAAUGAGAUUGUUUGUUAACUAUCUAUAGCCUCAAUAGCUCAACGGUAAGAGCGGUCGGACUUAUCACGGAGGGGUGGUGGUUCGAUCCCCGCCACGUUAGUCUAUUGUCGUACCCACUCCUAACACAGUCUAAUCUUUUCGACUAAUUGGAGGGGAAUGGGAAUAUUGGUCUUAUUGAGAAAAAAAAUAUGGCAAAUAUUCUUUAUAAUAAAAAAAGACGUCUUUAACCCUACACACAACGUUCACAAGUGUGUGACUCCACUCAAUUUGAUUCUCUGCCAUUCUAAGGUCUUAUUUUGGUUACAGUUUGAUUUGUUAAUUAAGUUGUCCUGUCAAUUUUAUGAAUCAUCCUUUGUUAGACAUUAGUUUUCUUAUUGUUUUUAAACCACUUCUGAGUAUGCUAAAAAUAUGUUUAUGAGUAAAUUUAAGAAAUGGGUAGCAAUGCCACACGCGUCCUCCUGUAUCACUCAAUAUUUUAACAAUCUCGUUUUUGUUAUGCUGACGUUACUUUACACAUACGCUAAGGCGUUUUUACUGUCCACUUACUACUAAGUCCAAAAGCAAACCGACUUUCUGAUAUAGAAGAACUAUAUCGACAUACAAAUUCAGCAUACUGCUAACCUGAUUUUGUGCCGAAACGUACUAGGUUCGAUUUUCGGUUGUGUUUAAUUCAAGCAACGUAAAUGUUCAAAACUAGUCUAUAGAGAUUAAAACUGUACAACGCUUUGCUAGUCGAUCAAAUAAAGUACGUAUUUUUUUUAAAAAGCAAAUCUGUUUUAAAUACACAUUUUUUUAUUUUUUUUUUUAAUUUUAAAAAUACAAACUACAAACUUUUGACUAUAUUUUCGGAAUCAAUGACAUUGGAGAAUUUUCUACUGUCGCUAAAAACUGGAUUAUCUAAAAAAAAUGUUUAUGAGUUAUAAUAUCACAAACAUACACAUAACACUAAAAAAUCCCUAUUUUUGUAUCAGGGAUAAAAACAAAUGGAUCUUAAACUACGACUGCUGAACAUAAAUCAAUAGAAAAUAAAGCUCUCUAGAAACUCUACAAAAACUAGAAAAAAUAAAUUAUUGACUUAUCAUAGUUUUACUAAAAAAUAUCCCACUAACACAAAGGCAAUGGCGUACACAGUGUUACUCACUAAGUAAGUAGGAAGGUGAUGAAUAAAAUGUAGGAUUUUACGAUUUUUAAAAUGAAACUAAUCCAUCACAUUUAAUUUUUUCAUUCUACCGCAUAUCGCAUUACAAGCGGUCGCGACGUAGAAGCUAAGGCCAAUGUGAUGGCGCCCAUAGUUUCACUUGCAUUGUGAUUUAAAUUAAAGUAAAAUCCUCAUCAUCAUCACCAUCAUUAUCAUCAACCGAUGGACGUCCACUGCUGGACAUAGGCUUCUUGCAUGGACCUCCAAGCAUAACGGUCUCGAGUACCAGCAUCCAGCGGUUUCCUGUAAUUCGCUUAAUAUCCUCGGUCCACCUAGUGGGGGCUCGACCAACACUCCGCUUUCCGAUGCGGGGUCGCCAUUCCAGCACCUUGGGACCCCAACGUCCAUCGGCUCUUCGAACUAUGUGGCCUGCCCAUUGCUAUUUCAGCUUCGCGACUUGCUGAGCUAUGUCAGUGACUUUGGUUCGUCUGCGGAUCUCCUCAUUUCUGAAUCGAUCACGCAUAGAAACCUACACGGGCAGAACUUUUUAAAGGGCUUCACAUGUUUCAGCACUAUUUAUCAGCAAUUAUGGUGUGCGCCACUGCAAGCUAUUUUAUAAUAAUUUAACUAAAAAGAUUCAACGAUUUUUUUUUAAUAUAAUUUUUUUUUUAAUUUUAAAUAGAAGAAAAUAGUAAAAUACAAUAUCAUGUAGUUUUAACUUGUACUAACGUAAUUUGUAAAUGUUUGUAACAAAAUAAAUAUGGGUUUUUAUUUAUAUAAUUAAAAUAAUAAUUAAAUCGUAGAAAUUUACCAUGAUCAGCACUGCCUUGUAUUGUAUUAUUAAAAUUUUUAUAUAUGGACCAACUGAAUAAGUGUAAAAAAUAGAUUAUUUUUAAUUACUUUUUAAAUUUUAGUUAAGAAUUAUGUUUUUAUUUGUGUUGUACAAAAAUAUAAAAAAAAAAUACAAUUAAUAAGAUAAAGAUAAGAUAAAUAUACUUUAUUUGCACACCACAAAGACAAAAACAAGUGAAAUAAAAAACAAAUUAGGAAGAGAUCAGCAUACAAAAGGCGGCCUUAUCGCUAAGUAGCGAUUUCUUCCAGGCAACCUUCGGUUUAGGAAAACUUAAGGACAUCAGCAGGUGGCAUAAAACAAAAAUAACCAUAGUAUUAGUAAUACACUUACAUACAAAUAAUUUACAUCCUAAUACAUAAACAAUAUUACACAAAUACCUACAAUAAUGAGUAAAAUACAUAUCAAAAUAUACUAAUAAAUACCUUAUAUUGAAAAGAAAUAAUAUAUACAGAUCGUCUUUACUGCACCAGGUAAUGAGACUUUACGGCAUUUUUAAAAAUGUCCAGUGUCUUUGAUUGCCGUAUGUUUAAAGGGAGAGCAUUCCAUAACUUAACGGCUUGCACAACGAAAGAAUGUUUAUAAAAUUUCGUCUUAUGCACGGGUAAACAUAGAGUUAGUAAUCGACACUGUCUCAGUUCAGACUGCACUCCCUGAAACGUAAAUUUCUCCUUCAGAUACACAGGAGAUUUUGGAUUAAACAACACACAGUACAAAAGUGAAAGUACAUGUAGAUCCCGGCGACGACGAAUAGGGAGCCACUUGAGCUUCUGACGGAAUUCAGAAAUAUGGUCAUAUUUGCGUAGGCUAAAUAUGAACCGAAUAGCAAGAUUUUGAAGUCGCUCAAGUUUAUUGAGUUGGUCCUCAGUUACAUUUAGAUAGCUCGCGUCCGCAUAAUCUAAAACCGAAAGAAGAAGAGAAUGUGCUAACAUAACUUUAGUAGGAAUUGGUAAAAAUUAAUAUUUAUUAAUUAAUAUAUAUAUAUAUAAUUAAUAUAUAUUAAUAAAAAAUAAAAAGAAUACAAUUUUGAAUAUUUAUAUUUAUUACACUUGGUGGAAAUAUAUAAUAGUAUUAUAGUAUAUGUAUUAUGUAGUAAUGUAAAUUAGUUUUAUAUUCGAUUUCUUAACUAAGCACCUAAUAAAAAAUGACUAAAAUUGAGUCCACGGCAUACGGUUUAAUUUUCUUUAUAUUAUAUUUUGGGAAAUAUAUUUCCAAAUUAAUUUAGUACGUUUUAUAAUAUAAAAUUAUAGGGCAUGUUUGUGUAACUGGGCAGCUAAGUAAGACAUACAUAAUUAUAAAAUUGCUAACAUAUUCUAAUCAUUGUAUGUAGUACCAAAAUUUUGAUAGAUUUAUCUAUAAUUCAUUUAACUGUACUCAGUAAUGUUUGUACUCAGUAAUGUACCAACUUACAAUAUGUAAUAUAAAAAAUGCUUUACACCAGCUGCGUGCAUAGUAUGAUUGAGGUAAGCACUAAACAGUUUGUAUCAAUUAUCAUAUAAAAUACUAUAUAUAACUGUCUAAGUAUUAUUUAUGUAGAACAAACCUAAUUUAGUUAAUAACUAUUCAAAUUUUAGUUUUUAUAAUAAAAAAAGACUACAAAAAGUGUGAUAUAGAAAUUUCAAAAAUUAUAUUCCAUACAGCAUUUGACAAGUAAGUAAUACUUAAUUCGAUAAAGUUAAUUUUGUUUUUUUAAUAAAUACAACAUAUUGAAGAAUAAAUUGGUUGUGUGUGUGUUGCUUUACUAUGGCAAGAUCAUCUAUUUCUUGUUAAGAAGACUAAAACCAGGGAUUAAUAUAGUAUGUUUACAAAGUUAGUACGUUACUAAACUCCGCAUCACGAAAGAAGUCCUGAACUAAAAUUGACAGCGCCUUACACUAAAGACAGCGCCGCUGUGGGGGGACUUGUUUCAUGGCGCGGAGCAACGUCACUUAGCAUCAAGUGUGAUCGUAGUCGAGCAUUGUUAGGAUGGAUAAAAAAAUAUUAAAAAUAAAAUGACGUGCGAUUGGAGUUUCACUUCUGAGAAAUAAAAAAAAAACUUAUUUUUAUUAUAAAAUCUCAUUUAUAUUAUUAAUUCGAUAGUACGUGCUAUAUUAAAUGUGGAGAUGACUAUUAAAAGAGAUACUUGACACUUAAUUGGGUUAACUCUUGAUUUUACUGUAUGUGAAAAUUAAAUGAUGGAUUUUAUAAAUUUUCGAGAUAGGUCACUACUGUAUGGGGUGAAUUUGAAAUUAACGUGAUAAUGGUCUGAUUGAUCGAUGUGAAUGCUUUUUAUAUUUGAUAAUGGUAUGUGUAAUGUAGUCCAAGAGCUGGAAGACAUUUUUGAAUAUGCAUUUGUGAAAUCUAAGGCUUUAAAGAUAUUUUUAUGAUAGUCUAAUAUGAUUCUAUGAUAGUCUGAUGUUGAAUACGGAAGGUCAGAAGGCCACAGGAACUUUCAAAUGAUCAAUAUAAACCUCUAUCUAAUUAGAGUUCAUUCUAUCUAGACUAUGUCUAAUCUAAUAUAUCUAAAUAUGCAUAUAUAAGCCAAAGGUUUUUAAAAUUACUUCCUAUUUGAAAAAUUCGGAAAGUCUACCAGCUCUUAUACUAUCAAACGACGUGUUGGAAGCACUUUAUCAAAAUCACGAUAGUUUUGCUAUUUGACAGGUCUGUCACUUUUAUCGGUCUGCGUUAAGGCGUGUCUAAUCUAAGGAAUGCGAUAAAUAUUGUUUUUUUUAUCUGUACCUAUUUAAAUUUUUGUUAUUUUAAAACAAAACGAAAACAUAAUUAUUAUAUCAUAUAUCAUUCAUUUAUUUAUUAGUAAAUAUUUUAUAACAUAUUUAAUGCAUGAAAUAUACUUUUCAUCAAAAAAAAAAUCGAAAUAGUCCUCAAGUACCUACUUUCCAGGUGGACUAAUUGGAUUUUUUUUAUGAGAGUAUAUAAAUAAAUAUAUAUAAUUAAAUAUUUUUGAGCAACCUUAGUUUUUGGUACCUACUUCAAAUUCUUAUGUUAUAGUCAUAUAAACUUAAUUUAUUUACUAUACAAUAACUAAGGUUUGUCUCGUUUGUCCAAUGGUUAGUUAGAGGUUUUCUUAUUUGGUCCAGGUCUGGUACAAGGCAAAGACUUAACGCCAAGCGAUUUACCAUACCUUUAUGAUGUCGUGUAGAAACCGAAAGGGGUGUAGAUUUUCAUCCUCCUAACAAGUUAGCCCGCUUUCAUCUUAGAUUUCAUCACUUACCAUCAGGUGAGAUUGUAGUCAAGGGCUAACUUGUAAAGAAUUUAAAAAAGUUUUCCAAUUCGGGACUAUAAUCCUAGACCAUAGACCUUAAGAUUCAUAUUAAAAAAUUCGGCCAUUGAACCAACUAGAUAAUUAUUUCUUAAUUGUAUUUUUCAACAGUCACAGGUGCUGAAUUAUGCCUUGAAUUCUAAAAUCUAUUUUUAAAUUUACUAUAUUUUUUUAAAUUACAAUUUUGUCACUAUAAAUAUUAUUAUAAUCUUAUCUAUCUUAUUUGUAUUGUGCAAUUGUUAAAAAUGUGUGUUCAAAUCUUUAUUUAUGCUGAAUAAUUAUUAUUAAUAGAAAUUAUAUUUCAAUAAAUCAUUAGUUAUUAACAUA